rnacentral:rRNA from 1 species
CAGGCCUAACACAUGCAAGUCGAACGAAGGCUUCGGCCUUAGUGGCGCACGGGUGCGUAACGCGUGGGAAUCUGCCCUGGGGCACGGAAUAACUCAGAGAAAUUUGAGCUAAUACCGUAUGAUGACGUAAGUCCAAAGAUUUAUCGCCCUGGGAUGAGCCCGCGUAGGAUUAGCUAGUUGGUGGGGUAAUGGCCUACCAAGGCGACGAUCCUUAGCUGGUCUGAGAGGAUGAUCAGCCACACUGGGACUGAGACACGGCCCAGACUCCUACGGGAGGCAGCAGUGGGGAAUAUUGGACAAUGGGCGCAAGCCUGAUCCAGCAAUGCCGCGUGAGUGAUGAAGGCCUUAGGGUUGUAAAGCUCUUUUACCCGGGAUGAUAAUGACAGUACCGGGAGAAUAAGCUCCGGCUAACUCCGUGCCAGCAGCCGCGGUAAU